rnacentral:lncRNA from 10 species
AGCGCAGAGUGAAGGGCCGGGAACAGUGGAGGGUGCGAGGAAGACAAUGGGGGAGGACCCUGAGGCGGCCUCUGUGAGCCGACAGGAACACGUGGUCGAUCAGAGAGAGACUCGAGGUUCGUGAACGGAUGGGGAGGACCCUGAAAAGCACUGUGGAAUACAGGUUUCUAGUAACUUCAAAAUCACAUCAUUUGGACUGGGGUCUUUGUGACUUGUACCUUG